GUUCGGAUCGCAGGCUGCAACCCGCCUGCGUGAAGUUGGAAUCGCUAGUAAUCGCGGAUCAGCAUGCCGCGGUGAAUACGUUCCCGGGCCUUGUACACACCGCCCGUCACACCAUGAGAGUCGGGAACACCCGAAGUCCGUAGCCUAACCGCGAAGGGGGGCGCGGCCGAAGGUGGGUUCGAUAAUUGGGGUGAAGUCGUAACAAGGUAAC
rnacentral:rRNA from 1 species